GACGAACGCUGGCGGCGUGCCUAAUACAUACAAGUCGAGCGGAGUUAUUCCUUCGGGGAUAACUUAGCGGCGGACGGGUGAGUAACACGUAGGCAACCUGCCUGUAAGACUGGGAUGACUACCGGAAACGGUAGCUAAGACCGGAUACACAACUUGAUCGCAUGACCGAGUUGGGAAAAGCGGAGCAAUCUGCUACUUACAGAUGGGCCUGCGGCGCAUUAGCUAGUUGGUGGGGUAACGGCUCACCAAGGCGACGAUGCGUAGCCGACCUGAGAGGGUGAACGGCCACACUGGGACUGAGACACGGCCCAGACUCCUACGGGAGGCAGCAGUAGGGAAUCUUCCGCAAUGGACGCAAGUCUGACGGAGCAACGCCGCGUGAGUGAUGAAGGUUUUCGGAUCGUAAAGCUCUGUUGCCAGGGAAGAACGCUUGGGAGAGUAACUGCUCUCAAGGUGACGGUACCUGAGAAAAAAGCCCCGGCUAACUACGUGCCAGCCGCCGCCGUAACAC
rnacentral:rRNA from 1 species